rnacentral:lncRNA from 1 species
UUGUUGUCCAUUAUCGUUUUUUUGGGGCUGUCAGAAAUCUCCUUCCGCGGCCUACAAAAGUGAACGGAGGGAGUACUAUUUUGUCUGGCGGAUAGUGUCGAUGGCAUCAUCCACGUCUGUCGAAGUGGUGGUCACAUACUGCAGGUAUGCUAGCUCCUCACAAUAAAGACAUAAUUUUAAGUUUGUUACAGUUUAUGGAUGAAACUGGGAAUCACGUUCCACAAGCAUGCCUCAUAGUUAUGUAUAGUUUUUCUGUACAUAUGGUGUGCUGAACUCCUAUUUAAAGACGUUAUCAUUAUCCAUCUGAUCCUUCUAUUUGUUAGUUGGUUUCCUAAAUAAAUCAGUUCAGACGAUUAAUUGAUUUGGAGUAGAACAUGUCUUGCAUUAUAAGCUCCCGGCAAUUAUAUUUCAGAUCAAUAUUUGUAGCUGGCCAGUUUUUUUGUUUUUGAGGGGUAAAGCAUUUAUUCCAAGCUAAGAAAACAAAACAGGUUCACAACAUCCGACAUCCGAAGUCUCAUCUGCCCUAAACAGCCGGCAACAAACCAAAAAGAAGAAAACGACCAGAGAGAAAACAGAAGAAAGUCUAAAACUGCACUACUUGCAGGCUCAUUUUCAAGUGAUAUGCAGACUUUACAGUGAACUGGCCAUUCUUUGUAAAAUUCCAUGCAAUUACACCCGGUCCACCAACCACAAUCUGUUUAAUAUCCUGUGCAUCAUCAGGUGAGAACAUUUCAUCAAUUUUUGCAUCAUCCCAUGUAUCUCCCUGUACGUUGAGCAGGUCGGCCACCUUGGUAACACCAUGCAUAUACAACUGACCCAGCGGCUUGAGACUCCCCUGUCUUGGAAUCCAAUUAUCAUGAUGCACAUUGACAGAGGUGCCAUCACCAAUCCUCCACACUAAACCUUCUUGUAACAGGUCUCUUCCAUGCAAAAUGCUCCGGAAAGUGAACGAGGCUCCACUUGGGCACGUAGCCGUCAUAAUUGAUCCCUCCUUGAAGUACCGUGCCUUAAGCACUCUAGCGCAAAGGGAUUCAGGGUUUUGCAAAAUCCUCCAAGCUUGCUUAGCAAGCAACGCUUGGUUGAAAGCCUCCGGGUCCCUACCUCCCUCUCUCUUCGAAGAGCACAUCUUAUCCCAAGAAAUCCAGUGUACCUUCCUUUCACCAUUUGCUGCACCCCACCAGAAUUUUGAGGAGAUCGAUUUCAGGUUCCGGCACAUCUUCUUUGUGAGUUGAAAACAGCUCAUGGUGUAAGUAGGAGUAGACUGAAGCCCUGACUUAAUAAGAAUCUCUCUUGCAGCCUUCGACAACUCUUGUCCCUUCCAACCAGAGACCUUGCUUGUCGAGCUUUCCCGUACAUACUUGAACGUACCCUCUUUCGAUCUACCAACCAGUGUUGGUAAACCAAGGUACCGUUCACUCAAAGCCUCAGAAGUGAUACCUAUAGCUUGCUUGAGCAUAACUUUAUCCGCAUCUCUGCAUCCUUUCCCAAAGGUAUGGAUGAUUUUUGGAGGUUUACCUUCUGACCCGAGGCCACCUCGUAGUCGGCCUUUGCUAGCUGGCUAGUUGCUACCUCUUAAAAUAUAUAUAGAUAUUGCGAACCAACCUGUGGUUGGAUGGUUAGAGGGACUGUGGUAUCUCCAGCCCACCAGGGUUCAAAUCCUGGUGCUUGCAUUUAUUCCUAGAUUUAUUUCAGGAUUUCUGGCGAUGCACAUUCAGUGGGAGGAGACGUUUCCGGAGGUGCUCAUAGGGAUAGGGUGAGUGUAUGCGCGUGUAUAUGAACGCUUGUGUCUGUACUGAUGUUAAAAAAAUAAUAUAGAUGUUAAAGUGUGCAUGUUAUCUUCAAAUGAAUGAGAUAAUUAAGAGAAGACCAGGAUAACAAUAUAAAUCAGCAUAAGCAAAAAUUAUAGUAUAAUAUUAAAUAGUACAUAAAAAUGAUGCACUCAUAUCUGUUUCUCUUAACAUGUCUUUCAUAAUGAAGUUCUAAGCUUAUGGAGUGUACUUCUACAUGUAAAAAAAAAAUCUUAAGCUUUAGAAUGCACUUUUCAUUAUUUUUUCUAAUCGAGCUCAAAGGAGGCACUUAUGCCACUUAGGUUAGGAAGCACCCAAGAUUUUACUCACAGUACUAACAAAAGGAAAGAUACAUUUAUCGCAAUAGAAAUACAUUUAUGAUUUAAAAGCAAGGUAUGUUACAUAUUUGUUUUCAGUGAUUAAGACAUGUCUUGCAAAAACUCAAUAAGUAAAUUUACAAAGAAAGAAAAAAUUGUCAUUUUGGCGUGUAAUAUUUUUUCCUUUCAUUAAGACAUGGCUUGGGGAAACUCAUUAAUACGUGAGUACAGCUUACAAUCCAUGCAUGUAUGAUGCAUUUCCGUGAUUACUUUCAAUACAUGGAAAUAAAUAAUCUGUUGACUUGAAUGACCGGCCGCUGAUUGCUAUGCAGCACCUUUUAUUUGAUGAUUCGGUUUGCCAUCCUUCCUUGUUUGAUUAAUAGUACUACCAAAGGUGGGAAUUAGCAUUUGGCGGGCAAACAGUCCGCCACCACGUUUUGGUUUCCCGCCACUGUGUUGUAUAUAUAUGAGUGCGCGUACGUCCGAAUCCGAUCAACACACCACCACAUCAGCCUAACAUAACAAGUAAUUCCAUGGCCGCCCCCAAGGAGAUUGUAGUCAUUGACUCCGAAGAUGAGGACGACCAAGUCAAUGGCGCCUCCUAUGCCAAGGCCG